CAAAAUUAGCACGUGAACAAAUGUCUAAUCUUAUCAGCCGGGAAGGAGUAUGAAGGUGUAACAAAAUUUUCUAUGACAGUUGGAAAGAUAUGUGCACAGACCGGAAGGCUGAAAUGGUUUUAAAAGGUUGUGUGUCAUUUGAAAGUCUACUUAUUCUAAAUUUAUUUGCAAACUAUGGAUGUGUUUUUUUAAAAGAUGCAAACUCAACUUUUUCUGAAAACAGUUCAUGUAAUUCAACACAAAAUGGUAAUAAUAAGGAAAAUUCAAGUAUUUACUUAAAUUAUAAUGAAAGUUAUUCAAAAAUUUGACAGGGAAUUUAAGAUAAGAAAUCUAACUGAACCUAGUGUGCGUUUUUUGCAUGAAAACAAAAAAGGCAAUCAUUUCC